GACGUAGGAGGCGAGCGUUGUCCGGAUUCAUUGGGCGUAAAGAGCACGCAGGCGGUUUGGCAAGUCGGACGUGAAAAUCCGGGGCUCAACCCCGGAACUGCAUCCGAAACUGCCCGACUAGAGGUAGGUAGGGGAGAUCGGAAUUCCUGGUGUAGCGGUGAAAUGCGCAGAUAUCAGGAGGAACACCGGUGGCGAAGGCGGAUCUCUGGGCCUUACCUGACGCUCAGGUGCGAAAGCUAGGGGAGCGAACAGG
rnacentral:rRNA from 1 species